rnacentral:tRNA from 1 species
UGCCCAAUAGCUCAAUUGGUAGAGUAGGUGACUGUUAAUCACUUGGUUCCUGGUUCGAGUCCAGGUUGGGCAGCCA